rnacentral:rRNA from 1 species
GUUUGAUCAUGGCUCAGGAUGAACGCUAGCGGGAGGCUUAACACAUGCAAGUCGAGGGGCAGCAUAGGGUAGCAAUACUCUGAUGGCGACCGGCAGACGGGUGAGUAACGCGUAUGUAACCUACCCUGUACAGGGGGAUAACCCGGAGAAAUUCGGACUAAUAUCCCAUGGAAAUAUCGGAAGGCAUCUUUUGAUAUUUAAAGUUCCGGCGGUACGGGAUGGGCAUGCGUAACAUUAGCUAGUUGGUAAGGUAACGGCUUACCAAGGCUUUGAUGUUUAGGGGUCCUGAGAGGGUGGUCCCCCACACUGGUACUGAGACACGGACCAGACUCCUACGGGAGGCAGCAGUGAGGAAUAUUGGUCAAUGGGCGCAAGCCUGAACCAGCCAUCCCGCGUGCAGGAAGACGGCCCUAUGGGUUGUAAACUGCUUUUCCAGGGGGAGAAACUUGCGUACGCGUUGCGCAAUUGACGGUACCCUGGGAAUAAGCAUCGGCUAACUCCGUGCCAGCAGCCGCGGUAAUACGGAGGAUGCGAGCGUUAUCCGGAUUCAUUGGGUUUAAAGGGUGCGUAGGCGGACUAUUAAGUCAGUGGUGAAAUCCUGCAGCUUAACUGCAGAACUGCCAUUGAUACUGAUAGCCUUGAGUUUGGUUAAGGUAGGCGGAAUGUGUAAUGUAGCGGUGAAAUGCUUAGAUAUUACACAGAACACCAAUUGCGUAGGCAGCUUACUGAGCCGACACUGACGCUGAGGCACGAAAGCGUGGGGAUCGAACAGGAUUAGAUACCCUGGUAGUCCACGCCGUAAACGAUGAUUACUCGCUGUUGGCGAUACACUGUCAGCGGCUAAGCAAAAGCAAUAAGUAAUCCACCUGGGGAGUACGGC